rnacentral:rRNA from 1 species
UACGUAGGGUCCGAGCGUUGUCCGGAAUUAUUGGGCGUAAAGAGCUCGUAGGCGGUCUGUCGCGUCGGUUGUGAAAACCUGGGGCUCAACUCCAGGCCUGCAAUCGAUACGGGCAGACUAGAGUUCGGUAGGGGAGACUGGAAUUCCUGGUGUAGCGGUGAAAUGCGCAGAUAUCAGGAGGAACACCGGUGGCGAAGGCGGAUCUCUGGGCCUUACCUGACGCUGAGGCGCGAAAGCUAGGGGAGCGAACAGG